AAGUCGUAACAAGGUUUCCGUAGGUGAACCUGCGGAAGGAUCAUUAACAUUUGUAUUUGAUUGUGGUGGUGGUGUGUUGUUGUGUGUUCUGCAUGCACAACUCAUCAUCAUCUCAACCCCAUUGUGUGCAUGUUUUGUGUGCGAGUAGUAAGGGGAGGUUUUUACCCCUCCUUCUCUCACUACACUCCACUUCUUUCACUUUCACACCCAAACCCCUUCUUCUCAUCACACUAGACUGACUUUACACCUCGUUUUACUCAGGCUCAACUGAGCAAAACAUCAAUCAGCAUACAACUCUUAGCAACGGAUAUCUAGGCUCUC
rnacentral:misc_RNA from 1 species